AAGGUAGCAUAAUAACUUGUUAAUAAUUGUAGUCUAGCAUGAAUGGGUAAACGAAUAUAAUACUGUCUCAAUUGAAAAAAAAAUAAUUUUACCUAUAGGUGAAAAGGCCUAUAUAAAAAUAAAGGACAAGAAGACCCUAUAGAGCUUCCUUUAUCUUUACAACCUAAGUAAACAAAAGUUUGAAUGGGGCGUUCAGAGAAAAAACAUCUCUUUCUAAUUAAGAUAAAUAAAUCAAUACAAAUAACCUCUACAGAAUAACACUAAAGUUACCUUAGGGUUAACAGACUAAUUCCUCUAGAGAGUCCAUAUCUAAAGAGUGAGUUUGGCA
rnacentral:rRNA from 1 species